rnacentral:ncRNA from 1 species
UUGACAUGUGUGCAAAUCAAUGGCGGGUAAACCUGUAAGGUGCAAGGAAGCUGACUGGCGGGAUCCCCUCACGGGUUGCACCGCCAACCGACCUUCAAAAAGUUCGAGUGAGAGUAUGUUUGUUGAGACCUAAAAGAUGAUGAAUUAUGCCUGAGCGGGACAUAGUCAAAGGAAACUCUGGUGAGGACUUGGGUAUAGGGGCGAAAGACAUAUUUUUUAAAGA